rnacentral:rRNA from 1 species
UACGUAGGGAGCAAGCGUUGUCCGGAAUCAUUGGGCGUAAAGCGCGUGUAGGCGGUUUAAUAAGUCUGUUGUGAAAGUCGGAGGCUCAACCUUCGAAAGCCGAUGGAUACUGUGUGACUUGAGUACGGAAGAGGAGAGUGGAAUUCCUGGUGUAGCGGUGAAAUGCGCAGAUAUCAGGAAGAACACCAAUGGCGAAAGCAGCUCUCUGGGACGGUACUGACGCUGAGACGCGAAAGCGUGGGGAGCGAACAGG